AACGUAGGAGACAAACGUUAUCCGGAGUUACUGGGCGUAAAGGGCGCGUAGGCGGUCGUGUAAGUCUGGCGUGAAAUUUUUCGGCUUAACCGGGAAAGGUCGUCGGAUACUGCACAACUAGAGGACGGUAGAGGCGUGUGGAAUUCCGGGUGUAGUGGUGAAAUGCGUAGAGAUCCGGAGGAACACCAGUGGCGAAGGCGACACGCUGGGCCGUACCUGACACUGAGGCGCGACAGCAUGGGGAGCAAACAGG
rnacentral:rRNA from 1 species